rnacentral:rRNA from 1 species
GACGAACGCUGGCGGCGUGCCUAAUACAUGCAAGUAGAACGCACAGUUUAUACCGUAGCUUGCUACACCAUAGACUGUGAGUUGCGAACGGGUGAGUAACGCGUAGGUAACCUGCCUGGUAGCGGGGGAUAACUAUUGGAAACGAUAGCUAAUACCGCAUAAUAUUAAUUAUUGCAUGAUAAUUAAUUGAAAGGUGCAAUUGCACCACUACCAGAUGGACCUGCGUUGUAUUAGCUAGUAGGUGAGGUAACGGCUCACCUAGGCGACGAUACAUAGCCGACCUGAGAGGGUGAUCGGCCACACUGGGACUGAGACACGGCCCAGACUCCUACGGGAGGCAGCAGUAGGGAAUCUUCGGCAAUGGACGAAAGUCUGACCGAGCAACGCCGCGUGAGUGAAGAAGGUUGUCGGAUCGUAAAGCUCUGUUGUAAGAGAAGAACGGGUGUGAGAGUGGAAAGUUCACACUGUGACGGUACCUGACCAGAAAGGGACGGCUAACUACGUG